GUAGUCCUGGCUGUAAACGAUGUCGACUUGGAGGUUGUGCCCUUGAGGCGUGGCUUCCGGAGCUAACGCGUUAAGUCGACCGCCUGGGGAGUACGGCCGCAAGGUUAAAACUCAAAUGAAUUGACGGGGGCCCGCACAAGCGGUGGAGCAUGUGGUUUAAUUCGAUGCAACGCGAAGAACCUUACCUGGUCUUGACAUCCACAGAACUUUCCAGAGAUGGAUUGGUGCCUUCGGGAACUGUGAGACAGGUGCUGCAUGGCUGUCGUCAGCUCGUGUUGUGAAAUGUUGGGUUAAGUCCCGCAACGAGCGCAACCCUUAUCUUUUGUUGCCAGCGGUCCGGCCGGGAACUCAAAGGAGACUGCCAGUGAUAAACCGGAGGAAGGUGGGGAUGACGUCAAGUCAUCAUGGCCCUUACGACCAGGGCUACACACGUGCUACAAUGGCGCAUACAAAGAGAAGCGACCUCGCGAGAGCAAGCGGACCUCAUAAAGUGCGUCGUAGUCCGGAUUGGAGUCUGCAACUCGACUCCAUGAAGUCGGAAUCGCUAGUAAUCGUGGAUCAGAAUGCCACGGUGAAUACGUUCCCGGGCCUUGUACACACCGCCCGUCACACCAUGGGAGUGGGUUGCAAAAGAAGUAGGUAGCUUAACCUUCGGGAGGGCGCUUACCACUUUGUGAUUCAUGACUGGGGUGAAGUCGUAACAAGGUAACCGUAGGGGAACCUGCGGCUGGAUCACCUCC
rnacentral:rRNA from 1 species